CAUCAUAGUAUAAUCAAAUAUGAAGAUAUCAUAACCUCCACCCACACCACUCUUGAUCAUGAAUGGAUCAUGUCAUACCAAACACGCCCCUCAAGUACAAUAUAAGAUCAGUAGUUUGCAUGCAAGUUUGAGUUUUGACAUGGAAUUUGGUUUUCUUUGGAUUUGAGUACCAUAUCUUGGGUUUGUUGGGCUUCAUUGCCUUUCCAUUUUUUUUUUAAUAAUUUUUACUCAUUCAUUUCUUUCUUUCUUUUUUUCUCUUUCACACACUUUUUUUCUUCUUGCUUCUCCUCUGUUUUGCCCCAAUCUAAACUCAAAUAAAAUGUUUAAUAGUCUCUUCAACAGCUUUGUAAAAGAUGUCUAAUUCAGUCUUGGUGAUUAUAAGAGAAAGGUUCAUUCCAACGUAAAUUUUGGCCAUGAUUUUGGAUUUAUAACAAUAUAAGAUACUUGUAUGAUAUAAAUUAUUUUUGGUGUACAUUUUCUCCGUGAAUAUAAACUGAUAUAUAGACAUUCCAAUGUCAAAAUAUCCAUCAUUAUUUCCUAACCAGUUAUUUAUACUUUUAAGUUAACAAUUUACAUUAUUAGAUAUACAAAUGCAUGUUUUAAAGUGGUAGUUAAUCUCAAGUUUAUUAUAUUAGCCAAAAUUUUGAUAUCUUUUAUUAUUUCCCAUAUAUAUCAUUUGAUAUCUAGAAAUAUUUUAGUAGUUUCAUUUUUCCCUAGCAUCCCAACUCUACCAUGUUAAACCAAGUUCUCAGUUUCCCUUAGUUUCAUCCAUCGAUAAAGAUUGACAAAAGUUUAAUUUUAAAAACCUUGCAGAAGUGGUGAAUAGUCUUCACAAAGUGGUGGACUAUUCUUUUCAGUAGUAUCUUGGCUUACCACCCAGCCUUUUCUCUAUUUGAAUUAGCUUUAUAGAUCCUUAUUCACUAAAUUUUUCUAUUAAAAACUGUAUCUAAAAUUAUUCAAAACACCUAAUAGAAGAAAUUUAUAAUUUUGUUUUAGACAGAUUAUCUAACAUUAGCCCUCAAUCUGUCAUCUACUAGCCACGAUGGUGUUAUAAAAAGCACCCUGGAUUUAGAACUCUUAAUCUUUUUAGCUGGCCAACUUUUCUGCCAGUAAUUUUGAGAGGGCAAACAACGGGCCCAACAUACAACAGCUAUGGGAUGUGCCACUGCGGACUUCAGAAUGCUUGUACUUUACCAAGCUGACUCUCUGGUUUGCACAAAACAAAAGAACAAUGUGUUUCAUUGAGGUUCUUAUAUUAGUCAAAUUGCAGACAACACAAUCCCAUCAUAGUGUCAAUGUAGUUCAGUUGUUGUACAAUGUCAAGAUUAUUUAAAUUCGAGAUUCAGACCAUCUUGGUAAGCAACUGAUGUUGAUAUACAUCCAGAAGUUCAGUCAAUCUUCAAGUCAAGAAAAACAAGGCUUACAUGAGCAUAACUGGUUUUUUAGUGAUCAAGACGUCCAAAUUAAUUUCUCAUGAUUUCAGUAGCUUGUCUACCAC
rnacentral:lncRNA from 1 species